GCCUUGAUGAGUGAGCACAGCCUCUAAAUCAGUAUUAUAACCAGUUAGAGGAUGUGAAAUAGGGAACAUUUUAUUAACUGGUGUGCCAUGUAUAGUUUAUAGCCAAAAACUAGUAACCUAGUGAGAUGUGGAGGAGGGUGUUUUUUUCCACCACAGGAUAUUUAGUAGAAAAGGGAAGGAAAUAAAAUUAGUUUCCUAAUUUGUUUCUUUACAUCACCCUGCUACUGUUUUGUUUUGUGUCUUGUGCUGUAUAUGUGAAUUUAUGCAGAGAGAACAUUGACUUCAGACCUUUACAGAUCCUACUGCUGCACUUUCCAGGUUCCUUGACACUGGACCUCUUGAAUGUGGCCUGUAGUCAACAGAGUAUUUGUGCUGUGAAGGGGUCCCAAGUGACACUGAGGUGCUCAUAAUCCAACAUCAACAUAAAAAACGGUGUUCUAGUUCAUCAUGAAAUAAAGUACAAACAGGAGAAAAAACA
ensembl:lncRNA